rfam:Micromonas sp. RCC299 chloroplast, complete genome.
UGGGGCAUAGCCAAGUGGUAAGGCGACGGUUUUUGGCUCCGUUAUUCGGAGGUUCGAGUCCUUCUGCCCCAG